rnacentral:rRNA from 1 species
GAGUAAUGCCUGGGAAUAUGCCUUGAUGUGGGGGAUAACUAUUGGAAACGAUAGCUAAUACCGCAUAAUGCCUACGGGCCAAAGAGGGGGAUCUUCGGACCUCUCGCGUCAAGAUUAGCCCAGGUGGGAUUAGCUAGUUGGUGGGGUAAUGGCUCACCAAGGCGACGAUCCCUAGCUGGUUUGAGAGGAUGAUCAGCCACACUGGAACUGAGACACGGUCCAGACUCCUACGGGAGGCAGCAGUGGGGAAUAUUGCACAAUGGGGGAAACCCUGAUGCAGCCAUGCCGCGUGUAUGAAGAAGGCCUUCGGGUUGUAAAGUACUUUCAGUUGUGAGGAAGGCGGUAACGUUAAUAGCGNUGCCGUUUGACGUUAGCAACAGAAGAAGCACCGGCUAACUCCGUGCCAGCAGCCGCGGUAAUACGGAGGGUGCGAGCGUUAAUCGGAAUUACUGGGCGUAAAGCGCAUGCAGGCGGUCUGUUAANCAAGAUGUGAANGCCCGGGGCUCAACCUCGGAACAGCAUUUUGAACUGGCAGACUANAGUCUUGUAGAGGGGGGUAGAAUUUCAGGUGUANCGGUGAAAUGCGUANAGAUCUGAAGGAAUACCGGUGGCGAANGCGGCCCCCUGGACAAAGACUGACGCUCANAUGCGAAAGCGUG